AUCUUCCACGCAAAGCACCGAAGUGCAGCACAUGGAUGAAUCGGUCAUCGUACAACUAUCGUAUGCGUAGAAAUCAACACACAGCUGUUUCGCCCGUGAGACAACAGGGUGAGCCCCGGUGCUGGCACGACCACGCUGCAGGCGGCCCGAGCUUCGACGACGGCGGAGCCUGCAGGCUUGCGAGGACAGGGCCAAUGCGUGGCGGGGCCCAAGCAGCGGCAGCACCAGCGGGCCCCGGCGGCAGUCGGGGCGAAGCAGCGCCACCGCUAGGUUCUCCGGCGAACAGUGCAGAGCAAAGGGACAUACCUCCUGUUGGAAUGCUUGUACACAGAUGAUAAUUUCUUUCAAUUGAUACUGCACCAGCAAUGUCAAAAACACCACCUCUCGGAAUUGGUCCAUGAAACUGGUUGAAGGAUAAAUUGAGGUAUUGGAGGUGUUUCAAGGAUUUGAGAGGCUCUGGUAUUUCUCCGGACAAAUUGUUCUGAGAAAUAUCCAUAUUUUUUAUGUUGGAUAAUCUGGCAAAAGACUGUGGAAUGCUUCCUAUAAAGAAGUUGCUUUGCAUCUCAAGAUACUCCAGAUCCACACACUGGCCGAGAGUUGAUGGUAUGUCGCCAGACAGCCUGUUAUUUGACAUGUUCAUUUUCUUAAGAUGAAUCAGAUUGCCGACGUCAGGCAUUUCUCCAGACAAGUAAUUGUGUGACAAGUCCAACUCUUCAGUAAGUGUAGAGAUUUUGAAGAUUUUGCUUGGUAUACUCCCAACUAGUGAGUUGUGAGCAAGGUUGAGUAUACUGAGUUGAGUGCAAUGUGCUAUACUUGCUGGUAUCCUUCCACUAAAGUUGUUCCAAUCCAAUUUCAGCAUACUCAGCUGGACAAGAUUGCCAAUAGUAUCUGGAAUCUGCCCGGAAAGCCGGUUUUCUGCAAAGGAUAGAUAGACCAUUCUGUGCAGUUUCCCAAGUGUUGGUGGUAUAUUUCCAGUGAGAAGAUUGUUACCCAUGUACAAAUUAUUGAGGCUCUUGAGGUUGCCAAUCUCUGGUGGUAUAGGCCCGUAAAUUUGGUUGCUAUUUAGCCACAAUGACUCAAGACUAUUGGAAAGAUUGCCAAUAGAACUUGGUAAUUUCCCUUGGAGGUUGUUUCCAUCCAGCCCCAGCAUACUCAACCUGGAGCAAUUUGAUAGUGAAGAGACAAAGCCCCAAUCACCUGCUUCUAGCUUGUUGUGCCCCAGAUCAAGUUUCUCUAAAUUUUGCAGUGAACCGAAGAAUGGUAUGAAUCCAGUAAACCUAUUAUUAUCCAGGUGAAGCAUGCGUAAGCUGUAAGCUUUGAGAAGAGAGGCUGGGAUUGGCCCAUCAAAACUGUUCUCUGAUAGUAUUAAUCUCCGAAUAUUUGGAAGCGUGUGGCCGAUGUCGAAGGGUAAUUUUCCGACAAGAGAGUUUUUUGCGAUGGCAAGAACUGUGAGGGAUGACAUGUUGAAUAAAGACAAUGGGACUGGCCCAGAUAAGUUGUUUAUGUCCAAGGUCAAUGUCUCUAGUGUAGGAAUAUAACCUAAGCUCUCUGGGAUGCUCCCAACUAACUGAUUUUCUGCAAGGCGAAGAUGAACCAGGGAGGACAGGUUACCUAGUGAGGAAGGUAUUAUUCCUGAAAGAUGGUUCUUCCUUAAGUAGAGAUAUUUAAUUGGGGGAGAUGUGGCAGUAACAUAAGGUAUUGAACCAACAAAACUGUUCUGUUGGAGGCAAAUAGCAAUAAGUGAAGAAGUGGUGAAGAGAGCACUUGGGAGUUUUCCAGUAAAAUUAUUUUUCAUGAGUCUAAGUACUUGAAGAGAUGAACUGUUUGCUAGGAACUCUGGGAUGACCCCUAAGAGAGCAUUGUUCCCAAGAUCGACAUAUGUGAGAUGAGGGCUGCUGCCUAAAGACGGAGGUAUGUUGCCGAUAAGUCCAGUGCUAGCGAGAACUAGUAUGCGCAGCUUAGGGAGAUUUCCAAAAGCAGAAGGGAUGCUUCCUUGCAGGUUAUUGUUGCGAAGGUUAAUCUCUUGAAGAUGUUUGCAUUGGCUAAGGCUAGGUGGGAUGUCUCCGUGGAGGGAAUUGUUCCACAAACCAAGGAUUUGGAGUUGCGAACAUGCAGAGAGUUCAGGCGGGAUGUUACCUUCCAAAGUGUUCAUGCUGAGGUUGAGGUCGCGGAGCCCGCUCAGGAGGCCAAGCUCUGAUGGUAUGCCACCACUCAAGCUAUUAUUUGACAGUUGCAGCCUUGUAAGAGAGGUCAGGUUGGCAAUGCAAGGUGGUAUGGAGCCUGAGAUGCCUCCUGACUGGAGGUCCAGCGCAAUCACACGACGAGGGGACACCAUGCUGCAGGUGAUCCCAUGCCACUCGCAAACGUCGAGGGACGUGUUGCUCCAUGAAGCUAAAACUCCUGCUGGACCCGAGAGCCAGGACUUGAAACAAAGGAGGGAUUGUCUAUCAUUUUCGGUUUCACCGCAGGUGGCUAAUGUCAGGCAGCAAAAGAAGGCAAAGAGGCAUAGAAACCAAACAAAACCUGGAAACAAGACACCCGAAGACGCCAUUGUUAUUGUUUGCAGGAGUAUGUGGAUGAAAGCUCUGAUUUGUAAGAGGAUGUUUAAGCACUCAACUAUGGAGAGGGAUAGUAGCUAAGCCCUCUAGACAGCAACUUCACGGUCAACGAUCGAUACGGUGGGAACUGGGAUGAUACAUGACCACAUGCUUUUGGACCAGAUUUUGGCUUGUAGAAUAUUGCUAAUAUUGUGUGCAUGCAUUUGGACGCUAACAGAUUUGACCUUUCAUUUCUCAGACAGGGACAGCCCGGCAGGACGAUGCCUCCAACCUCUGCUUACAUUGCAAUUGUCCCAGCCACCCUCCAACAGCAGCUUGAGGUACAGUGUGGACGCACGCUUUCUCUUGAUGAAUAAUGAACAUGUAGCUCUUGAAGUCGUCGCGCACGCCGCCCGGGAAUAUACCUCGGCGAGAUUUGACAUUCCUGAUAUCGGAAUGCAUGAACACCCAUACAGGCAACUUAGUCAGAACGGCAUGGUAGCUGGCUGAAGUAUGAACGCACAUCUUCCCCUUUUUCUGUCAUUUACUUUCCUACCUUUGAUGGUCAUGCAUUAGUUAAUGGAGGAAUCAUUGGGAGAGGUAGCUCUAGGCGCCUCGUUGACCUACAACAUUUCUGAUCUCCAAAUGCAUAAAACCCCCUGCAAGCGGCUGGUUCGAAGGCAGCCAUAUCACAGAUCGACUUCAUUUCGACGCAACCACUACAGACUCUGUCUCGGUCUCCAUUCCUUUGCCUGGCUAACGGGGAUGGGGAUGGCACUUGCUCCACGCUCGUCUCUGUCUCUGCGCUCCCUGCUGCUGCUCAUGUCGCACAGGAAGCCACAUCGGAGCUCUUUCUUCUCCUCCUCCGCCGCCGUUCCGCCUGCGGCUCCAGGAACUGCCACUCCGGCUGCUGAUCCUGCCGUUCAGCCUCCAGCCGCUCCAGAUCCUGAUCUUGCAGUUCCUAAAGGUCCGCGCGAAUCUACCCGCGAUGGUCCGCCACGCCAACCUCCUGGAACUAUGGAUAUAGACGCUAAAGACCCCGGCAAGAAGACUCUCUAACAGCUAAUAAUACAAAGUCAGUGGGAGCCUUUCCCACAUUCCUCAAGGUUCAAAAAAGAAAAAGAAAAAAAAGACACCGGCAAGUCAUCAGAGUUCGCCUACGGCACUUCAACGUGUACUCCUUGAUCAGCCACCCACCGUACGAACUGCAGAAGCCCUCCUCUUCCGGAAGAAUAUUGAAUUAUUGCCAACUGUUCAGGUGCUACGAGCAAAUGCUUGCUGCGGUUACUGCCGUGUUACCUCUGUGGACAUGUAAUCUCAGUGCUGUCAUAUUAUUGAUCUUUGUACCGUUCCAAUCCACUUCAACAAAUAAAGGUGUGCGUUAGAUUUUCGUUUUGA